rnacentral:SRP_RNA from 1 species
CGAGAGGUUGGCGCGGGCAGGCGCCUCGCCAACCCGGUCAGGUCCGGAAGGAAGCAGCCGUAACGAAUGCCGCCUGGGUCGCUGGUCAACCUCUCAUCC